UCCCAGCCCUAAUGGCACUGGCCCUCGGUUGCCAUGGCAGGCUCUUAGUUUGGAAUAAACAGAGUCGUCCUCAUGCUGUCCAGGUAACUGACAUCUAAGUGUCUCCCAGGGAUAGGCUGGAAUUUCAAGAGUCCAGCCCCUAAACCCCCAGGGGAGGACAAAGGAGGGAUCCAGAGCAAAAGCGACAAGGUUGGGAGGAAAACAGAGAACAGGAGUCUGGGUAGAACUGCUCACACCUAGCUCUGCUGAAGGGAACGCGGAGGGCCCUGUGCUGAGGACGAUGCUGGGGUCUGCAGUGUGAGAGCUGUGGAUACGGAACCCAAACCCCUGCUCGAACCCUACCCACCAUUCACAGCGCGAACUGCUCGGCCAAGUCCUAGGUUCCUCACAUGUAAAUAAGGAUAAUAAUACUAAGCUCUCAAUGUCAUUGUCAGAAUCUGAUGGGACAAAUAAAGAACACCAUGGAUCAGGCUUACAAUCAGACACAGAGCUCAGCUAUGCAAAUAGCAAGCAAAACCCAUCCAGGGGUGUGACAGGCCUGUCAGGAGGGUCCCAGGGGUGGGUGGCUUCUCGCCGGCUGCUGGAAGGAGGGGCUGCUAUGUCGUGUUUCUUCAGCAAAUGUUUGCAGUGUAUGGGGCUGGCAGGGAGGGUUGGGCUUCAGCCGCAGGUGCAGGUGGCCAGGAGGCACUGUAUGAGGGAGGGGCACAGCCCCGAGAGGAGGCUCAGAGUGGCAGUCCAUGCCAGCGGACAGAUGAGAGACGUGACCUUUAUUCAGAAUGUGAUGGGAAGCUCGGGGCUGGGGAGUGAUUGGAUCAGAGCAGUGUUUGUAGAAGAUUGGCCUCCCUGAGCACUGGCAGAGGACAACUUGGAGAGAGUGGGGGAGGAGGACACAGGAACAUUUCCUUACCUGGCAAGAGAAAGUGCACUUCCAGAGAGGACGGUGAUGUCAUCGAUACCACCUGCAGAGAGGGGCCUAAGUCUCACAGAAUGGUCCUGGCUGUCCUAGAACUUGCUCUGUAGAACAGGAUGUCCUUAAACUCCCAGAGAUCCCCCCACACACAUUAUGCUGGGACUAAAGGUAUGUUCUACCACUAUCUGACUGAAAAACUUCUUCUAAAAAACAAUUUAUUUACUUUUAUUUUGUUUGCAUUGAUAUUUUGUCAGCAUGUAUAUCUGUGUGAAGGUGUCAGAUCUUAGCAUUAGAGACAGUUGUGAGCUGCCACGUGGGUGCUGGGAAUUGAACCUGGGUCAUCUAGAGGAGCAGCCAGUGCUCUUAACUGCUGAGCCAUCUCUCUAGUCCCUGAACAAAACCUUCUAAUGUGAAAUUUGUUUUACACAAGAGAGCACAUGUGCAGUGGGCCCAGUCAAAGCUGAUGCUUUCUCCGUGGUGUCUGCUGCAGGCCUGAAAGGAGAAGGAACUCUUUCAGCAUAACUCAGCAACUUAGAGACUCGCUGGGACUAGAACACAGGUCAUUUAAUUCCCAAGAGGAACUUUCUUGCUAGUUUACAUUGUUCUGUAUAUUAGGAUAAUUCUAAAAGCAAAAAUUGUACUGAAGUUUGGUUAAAGUUAAAAAAAAAAACAGCUUUUUUUUUUUUUGACUGGGGUCUCACUAUGUAGCUCUGGCUAGCCUGCACUAAAGGCGUGCACUAUCACUGCUGGCACCAUAUUUUAACUAAUUAACAUGUGUAUACACACCAGCAUCAUGGUGUCCUUGGGAAGGUUUGAGAACAAGGGACCAAAAUCGGGUCGUCAGGCUUGGUGGCCAUACUUUACCUGCUGAGUCAUCUUCCUGCCUGGAAUUUUGUUUGAUUUGAGUCACAACCCCUAAAACAAAUGGAUUUUAACCACAAAUCCUAGUGUUCUUUGGAAGUGUGUGGCGGGGGUUUUUGCAGAAGUUGGGGGAUCAGAGGGGAAAGUGAAGUGUGGGGUUCCUGGCUCCCCCAUCUUAAGACUCCAGGGCCACAUCACCAAUCUCUGGAAACCAUCCCCCUUAUCAGAGGUAUGGGCUGCUCAGGACAGAGCCUGGGUGCUUGCAGGAGAAAUCCUGCCUGGUGUUGGAGCCGAGGAGCUAUGUUCUGUGGCCUCGGGGAUGGCGCCCGGUUCCUACUCUCAGAGCCUCGUCUGUGAGGAGCAGACUACAGUCCUUCUAGUCCUAGCUCAGCCAUGGUGCAGGGGGAGCCUGGGGCAGAGGAAACGGCCCAGAUCUGAUGUUUGCUAGCUCCCAUAUUUUAACCACCAUGCUCAGAUUUCUCAGCUCCAAAGUGCAUGUUUUGCUUAUUUCUCAUUUUCUGUACAGAUUACCACCUUAAGGGAACCCUAGGCCAUGGGGUGCCUGGACCCAUGUCCAGGCCUGUGAUGUCCUGUGGAAAUAAGACUACAAGGUGGAGGCUCAGGGCUGGAGGACUAGAGAGGGAGUCCCUGCUGGAGGCUUCCUGGAGGAGGUUGUGGGCACGGCCAAGCUAGAGGGAUGGGGCGGGGAUGUGCAAGGAGGCCGGUGAGAGGGUAGAACUGCAGAGGUAGAGAGGUCUCAUGAGGAGCUGUCAGUCAAAAGGCACAGGGUCAGGCCAUGGGGGAAUACAGAAUGACUGGCUGUGGAGGACACUGGGGCCAUGUGUCCACAGGUCUGGGAGCAUGACCAGGAAACUGGGUGGGGAGGCAGUUGGAGGCUUCUGACUGAGGAAUCCUGGCCUGGGGGUUGAGUCCCCUGCCUUCUCUUCUUGGGGCUUUCCCUAUGCUUUCCGGGUUCUUCAAAAGGCUUUUCCGUCACUAGCAACUCUUAGUGUUCCCUGGAUGUCACCUGGGAAACCAGGAGAGGCCAGAAGGAAGAGAGAGGGUGGGUUAAGGGGGCUGGAUGUUGAAGUUCUGUCAGGAAUGCAGAAACUGCAUAGUGACUUGUGUUGCCAUGGGAGCAUUGUCUAACAAGUCCCAGGGGCUAAACUGGCUCAGGCUGGCCCUAACGUAGUCCAUUCUCACUGUCUAAGUCAACAGAUUUUUCUCUAAGACCUAUGAUUGGGUCACUGUGUGUGGAUUUGGAAUUAUCUCCACCCGCAGAGAAUCUGAAAGAUAGGUUAAAGGGUAGUAGGUAGCAGGUCAGGUCUUUCUUUAGUUAAACCCCUCUUGUAUUCUUCCUCCUUCCCUUCCCUCUUUCUUCUCUCCAUCCUUCCAGGUACGGAUGAAACCCAUCUUCAGGCUAGGAAGCAUUUUACCACUGGGCUUUAUUCCUGGCCCUGUCUGUCUUGUUUUAUCAUGGUAGAGAAGGCUAAGUCAGCUUUUGGAUUCACUCGGUCAGCAUGUUCUGGAGUUCAGCGAGGUGUUUUCUCAUGCUGUAGGUAUGCAGUUUGCAAGGUAGUCAUGGUUUCUGUUGUAUGUCACAUUCCACAGCACUGGACAGAGGUCCCUCAAGUCUACUGGACCUUUAGUGGGCAGAGUUUUGAGGCUCACGCGACAGUGGUUGUAUGGGUAGAUGGGCUCUAUACCACUUUGGGUUUGAGAGUGUUUCGUUUGCACUAUUGACGAGUAUUGCAUUUUUUCCCUAUUGCUUUAUUUUUCAAAUUACAUUUAUUUCUAUGUGUGUAUAUGUGUCUGAGAGAAGGCACAUGUACCAUGGGACUUGUGGAAUUAGUUCUCCUUUUCUGCCAUGUAGACCCUUCUUGGCAGGCAGGCAUCUUUACCCGCUGUACCCACUGAGCCAUCCUGGCAACCCUGCUAUUAUUUCUUUUCUGUUCAGUUCCUGGCUGUCCUAGAACUCACUCUGUAGACCAGGCUGGCCUCG